rnacentral:lncRNA from 1 species
UCCUGUAUCUAUUAAUAUUAAAUAUUUUUGUUGUUCCAUUAUUCCCGUUAUGUAAUAAUGAUGUGGUUUUAUAUCAUCUUCCAUUGAUUUUUGUGGAAUUUUAUCUAUUCUUUUUGAGGUACUCAUUUUUGAUGAUAUUUGUGGUAUUUCACAGUUUAUUCUUUUUGAUGUGCUUAAUCUUUCUUUUACUAUUUCUAAAUCUUCCUCUAUAUCAAUCUCAUUAUAACUAUAAUCAUUUUUAUCUAUGACUGUGACUAUUCU